CUCUCUCUCUCUGCUCGCGUGCCCCCGCGAGAGGGGACCCGCGCACAUGGCAGGGCCCCCCCGGCUCUCUCCCUCCCUCUCCUCCUCCCUCCCCGGCUCCCUCCUCCUCUACUGUGGUCCUCCCUCCGAUCCCUUCUCUCUUCGAUCCGCCCCCUGUCGGGUGUUUGUCGGACCCUACCCUGACCUCCCCCUCUCCCUGUCCCCUCCCCUGCCUCUCUCUCUCCCUCUCUCUUUUUCUUCUCUCUCUUACUCCCGCGCCCCUCUCCCCGCCUCCUUCUCCUGUCGCCCCACAGGGCUCGCAGGCCCCCGCGCCCUCUCCCUAGUGCUCGUGUCCUGUUCGCGGGCGCGGGCGCAGGUGCGAGCGGGUGCGGGCGAGCGGGCUCGGACGCGGGCACGGGCGGCGCGCGGGAGGGAGCCGGGGCGCGAGCGGGUGCCCGGCGCGGGUCGGUCGCAGGGCCCCGGGCGCGGGUCGGACGCAGGGCACGGGCGCGGGUCGGACGCAGAGGGCAGCACGUGCGAGCGCGGCACGGGCGGGCAGCUCUCCCUUCCCCCCUUCCCCGACCCCUCUCUGGAGAAACAUAAUGGUGAAGUAGCUGUGGUCUGAGCUUAUUAUCUGGAGGAUUAAUGCUUUAUCUUUCAUAGCUGAAUCGGUGGCGUCAGCGAUCAUCGAGGCGUGCCCGGCGGCUGGCGGCAUGUAGGAAAAUCCUCCUAGAUUUGGAGAAAUUCAGAAGCUGGCUUAUCAAAAACCUCGAAAUUACUACGUAAAUGGAUCGAUCGGGGAUCGAGCACUUCCUUCGAUCUCUUCUCCGCAUUCGUUUGGGGCCUCGAAGGGAGCUUCACACGUAGAAGCGUUUGCUUAUAUACGGAGAGGUCGUGUUGGAGAAGAAUGAAAUCGCACGAGGAGAGAGAAAGGAGGUUUUCCUUUGCUGUUUCGUUUUUGUUCUGUAAAUUUUGGGUUUAAUGGCAUUUUUUCUUGUGGGAGUUGCAUACUUUGCUUCUUAAUUUAGGGAAAGCUUGUUGGGUUUUGCUCUAGGGGUUUUGUGCAGUACGCGUUGCUGGUAAAGAUGGGGAGUUUAUAUGUGUUUUAUUUAAUGUUGUAGCAGUUGCAGCAAUGUGUGGGAGAUUGAGAAAGAUUUGAUGAUGGAGAAUGCAGAUGAAGCAAGGGAUGAUCAGGGAUCGGGUUGGUUUGAAGUGAAAAAGGUUCCCAAUAUCUUCCUGCUGGCUGUCGGCUCUUUGUUGUUCUUCAUAGCUGUGUCCUGUGUAGUUUAUAAUAAUGUUUUGUCCUUUGCGGGGGGUACUUUUCUUUCGCCUCUUUUUGUCCCAUACUAUGAUUACCUUUCCUUGAAUGUUAGAUGGCUGGGACAAUUGAGCUUUCGCCUGUUGUUGUCCCAUACUACGCUGACCUUCCCUUGAAUGUGAAAUAAUUGCGAUAAUGGAGAGGGGCCCGGGCCUUCUUGGCUGAUGGUUAGAGCACUUUGGAUGGCCUGUAUCAUAGGCAACCGAUUGCUACUUCAUUUAUUUGAAAUUUAAGUUGAUGCCUUUGUUUUAAAUUAAGAAACUUCUAUAUACUCAAUGCAUGAGGUGGCUUGGAUUUGCCGAUGGUAGUUGGUACAACAAUGUGCUGAUAUUUAGUUGUACUGAAAAUUACGAUUUCUACCUUUCGGGCAAAAUAACCCUUGGGCAAUCAACUGUGAUUUAGUGUUCUGAUAUUGUUCAAAUUUUUGUGUACACAUGUGAUUCUAACCUACUGAUUCAAAAUUUGCCAACAAUUCUCUUAUUUGCAUUCUUUACCUGAUCGGUUGUGGAUUACUUGUGCGAAAGCAGUUUUACAGAUGCUUCUUUGUAUCCAAAUCUGGUAUUCGUACCUUUGUUUGGGAUUAAAUGUAGUAGCUUUGGAUAGAGUUAGUUUUAGAGAUAAUUGAUUGUACUCAAAUAUGCUAUUCCUGUCUUUGUUUGGGAUUGAAUGUGGUAGCUUUGCAUGGACUCGACUGCUUCGAUACAUUGUUGUUUUACUAAUGCUGCUUCGAUACAUUGCUGUUUUACUAAUACUACUUUGUUCCCUUUAUUCCUUUUUGUUUCUUGCUAUUUCCUAUCUCUUUUUUGAGGCGAUGAUGAUAAGUAGAGGAAAACGUGGAAAAUGAUGGCUUCGAACAAGCGGAAGUUUGGACGGUCUAUUCAUAGGCAACCACUUUCUAAUGUUCUUAUACUUGGUCUUUGCACACAUGUUCCUCCUACGGCGCGGUCACACCCGAGCGGGAGCAGGCGCGAGCGAGCAGGAGUGGGAGCAGGCGCGGGCGCGGGGCAGGUGCGGACUCGGCGCGCGCGCAGGAGCGUGGGGGAAGGAGUUUGGCGGAGAUAUAUUUUUUUUCCCCUUCUCUCUCUUUACAUAUAGAGAAGAGGAUUUUAGAGUUUUUUUUAAUUUUAAUUUAAUUUUGACUUUAAUUUAAGGCCUUAUUGGUGAUUCUCCCGUCAUACUUGCCAAACCUCAAACUUUUAUGAAUGCAAGUGGUGAAUCUGUUGAUUUGCUGGUUUCAUAUUACAAGAGCGGUGAUCCGCCAUUAUUGGAGAGCUCAAAGCAUGGGAUUGAUCUCGUUCGAAGCUAGGAAAUGUUGAGGAGCUUUAAGAGUAAGCUCUAAGAGGUUGAAGGCGACCCUCUCCUCUGGUUUUUUUUUUCAUGUUUGGAGUAGAGAGAUGAGCUGAUAAUUUUAGAAUUUAGAUUUUAAAGUUUACCCAAUAGAAAAUUUUGGGGUUUUUGGGGUUCUAACAUUGGUAGAACCAUUUUUAGGAUUUUUUCUUCGAGUUUUGAGAGAUCAAAUUAUUGGUAGAACAUUUUAAGUUGUUGUAUCUGACUUGUCGUGUUUUAUGUCUCGUUUUAUAAAAUGUGAUACCUAAAAUGUCUCGUUUUAUAAAAUGUGAUACCUAAAAUUUGACAUCAUUUCAA